GAUGAAGAACGCAGCGAAAUGCGAUAAGUAAUGUGAAUUGCAGAAUUCAGUGAAUCAUCGAAGCUUUGAACGCACAUUGCGCCCCCUGGUAUUCCGGGGGGCAUGCCUGUUCGAGCGUCAUUUCACCACUCAAGCCUCGCUUGGUAUUGGGCAACGCGGUCCGCCGCGUGCCUCAAAUCGACCGGCUGGGUCUUCUGUCCCCUAAGCGUUGUGGAAACUAUUCGCUAAAGGGUGUUCGGGAGGCUACGCCGUAAAACAACCCCAUUUCUAAGGUUGACCUCGGAUCAGGUAGGGAUACCCGCUGAACUUAAGCAUAUCAUAAGCGGAGGA
rnacentral:misc_RNA from 1 species